GAGCAAUGUUCGUAAUCAACCUGUCGUAGGUCUCUGGAAGAGGUGUCUGUGGAGGGGAGUGGUCAGCUGCCAGGGAAACAUCCCAGAGAUCCUCAAGUAAAAUUGACGAAGAGGGACUUGAGCUUGCAGUCUGUCGACAUGGGUUUUUUCUUGGUGCUCUCAACAUGUUCAGGGGAGAAAUAUAUGCUUAUCCCCUCUACCUGCAGAACAAGCUGGCAAAUACGCCAAUAAGCUUUUUUGCCAUGGAUGUAACCUGUAAGUACUGGCCCUACCUCAUCAAAGUGACAAAAAGCUGCCCGGAGCUCCAGCACCUUCUGAGCAUGAAACCAUUUCUCUCAGUGUUUCAUGCUAAGGCCCAUGAUUUUAAAUGCGAGGUUAAAUGGAGUGGAGCUUACCAGCAAGGGGCCGGAUUGACACUUGGGGAGGAGGUGGAGCAGUGUAACGCCUUUCUCUCUAGGAUUGCUGUGACCACAAAGCACAUGUCUAAAGCAGGACGUACAGACAUGCUUACACUGAUGGCCAUAGGCUGGAAUCAGCAAAAGUUUAAUAACUUGGCUACUUCACUUGCCUGCCGAUAUCAGAAGGUUGAG